AGGACAGGGGCCGAGCUGCGUUGCCGCU
rnacentral:sRNA from 1 species